GAUGAAGAACGUAGCGAAAUGCGAUAAGUAGUGUGAAUUGCAGAAUUCGGUGAAUCAUCGAAUCUUUGAACGCACAUUGCGCCCCUUGGUAUCCCGAGGGGCAUGCCUGUUCGAGCGUCAUUUCACCACUCAAGCCUGGCUUGGUGUUGGGCGACGUCCUCUUUGGGGACGCGCCUCGAAACGCUCGGCGGCGUGGCACCGGCUUUAAGCGUAGCAGAAUCUUUCGCUUUGGAAGUCGGGGCCCCGUCUGCCGGAAGACCUGCUCGCAAGGUUGACCUCGGAUCAGGCAGGGAUACCCGCUGAACUUAAGCAUAUCAAUAAGCGGAGGA
rnacentral:misc_RNA from 1 species